rnacentral:rRNA from 1 species
GUGAGGAAUUUUGCGCAAUGGGGGCAACCCUGACGCAGCGACGCCGCGUGGAGGACGAAGUCUUUCGGGAUGUAAACUCCUGUCAGUGGGGACGAUAAUGACGGUACCCACAGAGGAAGCACCGGCUAACUCCGUGCCAGCAGCCGCGGUAAGACGGAGGGUGCAAGCGUUGUUCGGAAUUACUGGGCGUAAAGCGUAUGUAGGCGGCAAGUUAAGUUCAAUGUUAAAGCCCACGGCUCAACCGAGGAGAUGCAUUGAAUACUGGCUAGCUAGAGGGUGUUAGAGGAAGACGGAAUUCCCAGUGUAGCGGUGAAAUGCGUAGAUAUUGGGAGGAACAUCGGUAGCGAAAGCGGUCUUCUGGGACACACCUGACGCUGAGGUACGAAAGCGUGGGGAGCAAACAGGAUUAGAUACCCCAGUAGUCC